GAUGAAGAACGUAGCGAAAUGCGAUAAGUAGUGUGAAUUGCAGAAUUCAGUGAAUCAUCGAAUCUUUGAACGCACAUUGCGCCCCCUGGCAUUCCGGGGGGCAUGCCUGUUCGAGCGUCAUUACAACCCUCAAGCUCUGCUUGGUAUUGGGCUCUGCUGGGACCGGCAGGCCUUAAAAUCAGUGGCGGCGCCACUCGGCUUCAAGCGUAGUAAUUCUUCUCGCUUCGGAGACCCGGGUGCGUGCUAGCCAGCAACCCCCAACUUUCUUAGGUUGACCUCGGAUCAGGUAGGGAUACCCGCUGAACUUAAGCAUAUCAAUAAGCGGAGGA
rnacentral:misc_RNA from 1 species